AUUGAACGCUGGCGGCAGGCUUAACACAUGCAAGUCGAACGAGCGGCGGACGGGUGAGUAAUGUCUGGGAAACUGCCUGAUGGAGGGGGAUAACUACUGGAAACGGUAGCUAAUACCGCAUACCAUCGGAUGUGCCCAGAUGGGAUUAGCUAGUAGGGUGGGUAAAGGCUCACCUAGGCGACGAUCCCGAGCGGGUCUGAUCGGAUGACCGUCAACACUGGAACGGAGACAUGGUCAAGACUCCUCCGGUGGGCAGCAUUGGGAAAUAGUGCACAAUGGGGGCAAGCCUGAUGCAGCCAUGCCGCGUGUGUGAAGAAGGCAUUCGGGUUGUAAAGCACUUUCAGCGAGGAGGCGUUACUCGCAGAAGAAGCACCGGCUAACUCCGUGCCAGCCGCCGCGGUAAUAC
rnacentral:rRNA from 1 species